rnacentral:rRNA from 1 species
ACCCCAGGUCAGGCGGGAUCACCCGCUGAGUUUAAGCAUAUAUUUA